rnacentral:rRNA from 1 species
GACGAACGCUGGCGGCGUGCCUAAUACAUGCAAGUCGAGCGCAGGAAACUGACGGAACUCUUCGGAGGGAAGGCAGUGGAAUGAGCGGCGGACGGGUGAGUAACACGUAAGGAACCUGCCUCAAGGAUUGGGAUAACUCCGAGAAAUCGGAGCUAAUACCGGAUAGUUCAACGGACCGCAUGGUCCGCUGAUGAAAGGCGCUUCGGCGUCACCUUGAGAUGGUCUUGCGGUGCAUUAGCUAGUUGGUGGGGUAACGGCCCACCAAGGCGACGAUGCAUAGCCGACCUGGGAGGGUGAUCGGCCACACUGGGACUGAGACACGGCCCAGACUCCUACGGGAGGCAGCAGUAGGGAAUCUUCCACAAUGGACGAAAGUCUGAUGGAGCAACGCCGCGUGAGUGAUGAAGGUUUUCGGAUCGUAAAACUCUGUUGUAAGGGAAGAACACGUACGAGAGGAAAUGCUCGUACCUUGACGGUACCUUACGAGAAAGCCACGGCUAACUACGUGCCAGCCGCCGCCGUAAAAC